AGACUGCCCCUUCUAAAAGGAGAAUGCAUUUUUUUCCCAAAGGAAAGCAAGUCUUUUUUUUUAAAGAUUCUUUAUUUAUUUAUUCAUGAGAGACACAGAGGCAGAGAGAGAAGCAGGCUCCAUGCAGGGAGCCCGAUGUGGGACUCGAUCCAGGGACCCCAGGAUCACGCCCUGGGCUGAAGGCAGGUGCUAAACCGCUGAGCCACCCAGGGAUCCCCUAAAAGGAGAAUGCAUUCUGCAGAAAGCAGUUGCUUUUUAAGAUCACAAUGUACAUCUUUCAAAAAUUAGGGACGUAGCUCGUCGUGGUCCUCACACUUCACUCUUGCCCAAUAUCACCUGGAGCCUUUUCCCACGUGCACAUUGCCAGGCCUCUCCGCUGGAAAUCCUGGGUCAGUCGGUUGGCGUUGGAAGCCCAGGAAUCUGUUUUUCACAAGCACCCCAGGUGCUUCUUGUUCCCCUAGAAGUGUGAGAACCAUGGCUAUUGAGCAGAGCUGCUCAAACUUGAAGGUGCUCACUGACCACCUGGGACCUUAUUAAAUACAAAUCCUGAUCCAGUAAGCCUGGGCUGGGGCCCUGGAAUCCACACUUGCAGCAGGCCCCCCGGUGAUGCUGCUGCCGCUGGCCCAUGGCCAUGCUUUGAGGAGUGAGUUUGUAGCUACGCAGGCUGCGUGCCCCCAGGUGGAUCCUUAAUAGCACACCUGUUCUGUUUAGAAUCACUACAAGCUCUGCUACAGCCUACCACUCCCACUGAGGCUUCUCUGAAAAGCAAACUCAAAUGGUUCUUUCUUUUGUCUGGAAAAGCAAGGAUGCCCCCUUUUGACGGCUCAAAAUAUUUCCUGUCAAAUGCCAGGAGAGGAACAGCAAGCCCACCAGUGGUCAUCGUCAAGAAGAGCCAUGUCUCCAGGGGUGCAGGGACACUAGGAAGCAGAUUUGAAGGACAGAUGGGGUUUGAGAGGAAAACGGAAGAAAGAUGUACAACCUGCCCCUUCGUAAUGAAGAAAAAGGAGUCUCUUCAUGAGGCAGGACAUGCCCACGGCAGAUGAUCAGGAAGGAGGGAUAUUCUUCACAGGAGUUUAAGGUAAUUCUCCAUUUGGGGUAUCUUGCCACAACAUUUUCUGCCCAGUAUGGAAGCUUGUCAGUGAGGAGAGGUGCUAAUCUCAAGACCAAGCAUUUUCCUGGCCUCUCUACCCAAAGAGGCCUCUCCCCUCAUCUCCUUUGGGUUCUGACACAUGGUUCAUACUUGGUAAUUAUAUUAAGCUAACAUUUGUUGAGUGCCUAUUUUGCCAGGCACUACAGAAGCAUUGUAUGUUUAUUAAUUCAUUUAAAUCUUACAUAGUCCCUGCGAGAUACAUAUGUGCUAUUAUUUCCAUUUCACAGAUGAGGAAAUUAGAGAAAAAAAAAUUUAGACCAUCUGUC
rnacentral:lncRNA from 12 species